AUGUGCGAGGCUUGCUACAGGGAUGCAUUCAUGGGCAACGCGCCUCAGCAGCACGCGCAGAUUGGCUACGCCGGUGCGCCUCGGGGAGCAGUGCGCAAUCCAGCCCACAAUGGGCCUCCGCAGCACGCGCAGAUGGGGCCUCCAUCCCUCCACACCUUGGCACCGCCACCGGAGCGGCAGUCUUCUUCACGGGCAAGGGAGCAGCAGCUCCAGGUCCAGGCUGAGCUGCAAGCGCUGGAUGCGAUGAGGCUGCAGGUGGCCAAUAUUCUGAACAACCCUUUUUCGCUCGUCGGAUCGGGCCCGGCGAACCCAGCGCCUCAGUGGCAGUCUUCUUCACCAGGACCAGGAUGUUACAGCAAUAUCUUCACCGGCAACCAGGGUCACGGCAGUGCUGCCAUUGAUCAGCAGCGCCAGCUCGACCUCCUCCUCAGCACGCGCGGAUCGCCUCCAAGCUUCCGAGUCCAGUCCCCACUCCCAGCAACGUGCUGGCCGGCAAUGCGUCUCUGA
rnacentral:rRNA from 1 species